UAGAGUUUGAUCCUGGCUCAGAACGAACGCUGGCGGCGUGGAUAAGACAUGCAAGUCAAACGAGAGAAUUGCUAGCUUGCUAAUAAUUCUCUAGUGGCGCACGGGUGAGUAACACGUGAGUAACCUGCCCCCGAGAGCGGGAUAGCCCUGGGAAACUGGGAUUAAUACCGCAUAGUAUCGAAAGAUUAAAGCAGCAAUGCGCUUGGGGAUGGGCUCGCGGCCUAUUAGUUAGUUGGUGAGGUAACGGCUCACCAAGGCGAUGACGGGUAGCCGGUCUGAGAGGAUGUCCGGCCACACUGGAACUGAGACACGGUCCAGACACCUACGGGUGGCAGCAGUCGAGAAUCAUUCACAAUGGGGGAAACCCUGAUGGUGCGACGCCGCGUGGGGGAAUGAAGGUCUUCGGAUUGUAAACCCCUGUCAUGUGGGAGCAAAUUAAAAAGAUAGUACCACAAGAGGAAGAGACGGCUAACUCUGUGCCAGCAGCCGCGGUAAUACAGAGGUCUCAAGCGUUGUUCGGAAUCACUGGGCGUAAAGCGUGCGUAGGCUGUUUCGUAAGUCGUGUGUGAAAGGCGCGGGCUCAACCCGCGGACGGCACAUGAUACUGCGAGACUAGAGUAAUGGAGGGGGAACCGGAAUUCUCGGUGUAGCAGUGAAAUGCGUAGAUAUCGAGAGGAACACUCGUGGCGAAGGCGGGUUCCUGGACAUUAACUGACGCUGAGGCACGAAGGCCAGGGGAGCGAAAGGGAUUAGAUACCCCUGUAGUCCUGGCAGUAAACGGUGCACGCUUGGUGUGCGGGGAAUCGACCCCCUGCGUGCCGGAGCUAACGCGUUAAGCGUUCCCCCUUGGGGAGUACGGUCGCAAGAUUAAAACUCAAAGAAAUUGACGGGGACCCGCACAAGCGGUGGAGUAUGUGGCUUAAUUCGAUGCAACGCGAAGAACCUUACCUGGGCUUGACAUGUAAUGAACAACAUGUGAAAGCAUGCGACUCUUCGGAGGCGUUACACAGGUGCUGCAUGGCCGUCGUCAGCUCGUGUCGUGAGAUGUUUGGUUAAGUCCAGCAACGAGCGCAACCCCUGUUGCCAGUUACCAGCACGUGAAGGUGGGGACUCUGGCGAGACUGCCCAGAUCAACUGGGAGGAAGGUGGGGACGACGUCAGGUCAGUAUGGCCCUUAUGCCCAGGGCUGCACACGUACUACAAUGCCCAGUACAGAGGGGGCCGAAGCCGCGAGGCGGAGGAAAUCCUAAAAACUGGGCCCAGUUCGGACUGUAGGCUGCAACCCGCCUACACGAAGCCGGAAUCGCUAGUAAUGGCGCAUCAGCUACGGCGCCGUGAAUACGUUCCCGGGUCUUGCACUCACCGCCCGUCA
rnacentral:rRNA from 1 species